GUAAACUGGCUGAAUGAUGCUUCCUCUGAAGCCCCUCCAUCCUGCCUGUUGUAAAACUUCUGAAUGCUAACACAAGCUGUCGGCAUAUGUAACGGAACCAACGCUGACAAGCUCAGUCGGAGCAACACGGUUACAAAUUUGGCAAGAGCAAGGAUGGACUAACAGAAACACCAGCCUUGAACCCGUCUCAGCAUGAGAUGGCCCGCCUAGCCUGGGAGGAUAGUCACAAAGGUUCCGAGUCAGGAAGCCACGCCCACACAAAGGUAAAUUCAGCUCUCCUCACAGAAGCUUCUUUCUGCAGCCCACAGAGGUGCUUACAAAGACCCACAACUGGUCAAAAUGCAGCGUAAGAGACUGUGGGGUGCCCUUUUGGUACAUCAAGACCACAACCUCUACACCCAGCCUCAGAGGACAUCACAAAAGCAUGGAAUGAUGCAAGAGGCAGAGAGUUGAACACCUGAAGUGAGACAGUGUCUUCUGCACACACAGAAGUCGAUCCCUGAAAUCAGAAGUCGAUCCCUGAAAUCACAAGUAUGGUUGUCAAAACAGAUCUGCAUAAUGACAACAGCAGGUGACGUGGCCUGGUGGAGGGGGAAUUCCAAAGCCCCACCCCCAGCUCUGAUAAAGAGCUACAGUCAACCAAUUGCUGCAGAGAGGGGAAAAGUUUUCUCCAAAAACAAGUCCUCCACGACGUUGUCUAACGUCUCACAUUCAGGCCUAACACAUGCACACACAAGCAACACUAAAUGGACCAGUAGGCUGCGUGUGGGGGUAUACAUGUUAUAAUUACUGCAUAUAUAAAGUAUAUACAUGUAAUAAUUAUAAAAGAGGUCGUGAGUUUAAGAGGGAGUGAGGAGGACAUGAGAGGAGUUGGAGGGGUGAAAAUGAUUUAAGUACAGUAUUCCUGCAUAAAAAUCUCAAAACAUCCAAAAUAUAUAAUUUUUUAGAAAGUAUAAUUCCUUUAUGUGAGUGUCUAGAACAAAGAUUCAUCUGCCCAGGGUUCUCUACGGCCACAAGUCCUUCAACAAAGGACUUCUCCAUCUGAAACAGGAACGGUGAAUGCAGGGAAUUAAUUCAGAGGAUCUUGGAUCCAUGAUCAGCUUGGAGCAGCAGCAUACACCCAUCCGGAAAUGUAAGCUACUGUUUUCAAUUGAAACAUCAGCCUUAUGUCCAUAAGUUUACAAGCAAUCCCUAAUG